rnacentral:rRNA from 1 species
AUUGAACGCUAGCGGGAUGCCUUACACAUGCAAGUCGAACGGCAGCGCGGACUUCGGUCUGGCGGCGAGUGGCGAACGGGUGAGUAAUGUAUCGGAACGUGCCCAGUAGGCGGGGGACAACCACUCGAAAGAGUGGCUAAUACCGCAUACGCCCGUACGGGGAAAGGGGGGGAUCGAAAGACCUCUCACUAUUGGAGCGGCCGAUAUCGGAUUAGCUAGUUGGUGGGGUAAAGGCCUACCAAGGCGACGAUCCGUAGCUGGUUUGAGAGGACGACCAGCCACACUGGGACUGAGACACGGCCCAGACUCCUACGGGAGGCAGCAGUGGGGAAUUUUGGACAAUGGGGGAAACCCUGAUCCAGCCAUUCCGCGUGUGCGAUGAAGGCCUUCGGGUUGUAAAGCACUUUUGGCAGGAAAGAAAUCGUGUGGGUUAAUACCCUGCGCGGAUGACGGUACCUGCAGAAUAAGCACCGGCUAACUACGUG